UUUACAAUAAAUGUGACAAAUGUCUUGUCCCCUUUAAUAAGAUCCUGCUGGUUUUUAUUGGUCUAAUAUAAUUGGUAUAACAAGAAAUGGGGCAGGAAA